UACGUAGGGUGCGAGCGUGUCCGGAAUUACUGGGCGUAAAGAGUUCGUAGGCGGUUUGUCGCGUCGUCUGUGAAAACCCAUCGCUCAACGAUGGGCCGCAGGCGAUACGGGCAGACUUGAGUACUGCAGGGGAGACUGGAAUUCCUGGUGUAGCGGUGAAAUGCGCAGAUAUCAGGAGGAACACCGGUGGUGUAGACGGCUUUCUGGACCGUAACUGACGCUGAGACACGAAAGCGUGGGUAGCAAACAGG
rnacentral:rRNA from 1 species